CCCUUAGAUGUUCUGGGCCGCACGCGCGCUACACUGACGGAGGCAGCGAGCAUGUCCUUCGCCGAGAGGUGUGGGGAAUCUUGUGAGUCUCCGUCGUGCUGGGGAUAGAUGGUUGCAAUUCUUCAUCUUCAACGAGGAAUGCCUAGUAAACGCAAGUCAUCAGCUUGCAUUGAUUACGUCCCUGCCCUUUGUACACACCGCCCGUCGCUCCUACCGAUUGAAUGUUCCGAUGAAUACCAUGGACUGAGAGUAUGAAUGGGUUCGCCUAUUUCUGCUUCUCGGGAAGUGGAGUAAAUCUUAACAUUUAGAGGAAGGAGAAGUCGUAACA
rnacentral:rRNA from 1 species